rnacentral:rRNA from 1 species
UACGUAGGGUGCGAGCGUUGUCCGGAAUUAUUGGGCGUAAAGGGCUCGUAGGCGGUUUGUCGCGUCUGCUGUGAAAAUCCGGGGCUCAACCCCGGACUUGCAGUGGGUACGGGCAGACUAGAGUGUGGUAGGGGGAGACUGGAAUUCCUGGUGUAGCGGUGAAAUGCGCAGAUAUCGAGAGGAACACCUGAGGUGAAGACGGGUUGCUGGGCCGACACUGACGCUGAGGCGCGAAAGCCAGGGUAGCAAACGGG